rnacentral:rRNA from 1 species
GACGAACGCUGGCGGCGUGCCUAACACAUGCCAGUCGAGCGAGGACAGCUGUUCUGGCGGCGGACGGGGGGGUGGCGCGGGGGAACGCGCCCUUUGCUUCUGAAUCGCCCUGGGGAAUAGGGAUUCGUAAGGGAGGAGCCUACUGCGUGAGAGUGUUGUCGGCGAAGGAUCGGCCCGCGUUGGAUUAGGUAGUUGGUGGGGUAAUGGCCGACCAAGGCGACGAUUCAUAGCGGGUCUGAGAGGAUGAUCAGCCACACUGGGACUGAGACACGGCCCAGACUCCUACGGGAGGCAGCAGUGGGGAAUAUUAGACAAUGGGGGAAACCCUGAUCUAGCCAUGCCGCGUGAGCGAUGACGGCCUUCGGGUUGUAAAGCUCUGUCAGCUGGGAAGAUAAUGACGGUACCAGCAGAAGAAGCCCCGGCUAACUACGUG